GCACCGACCACUCGCCACUCCCCUUCUCUCCCAUGAGCCUGAUUGAGCCAUGACCUCCCUAUUCGAAGAGGAAGCAGUGACCGACGUUCCAGAAGCCUUAGCUCCAAAGAAGGGCAGGAGCCCGACCUCUCGGAGAUAGAACCUUCGUGUUACGAGAGCUUCGACGAAGGCAAGUUCAUUCUACCCUUUUUUGAAAGGUCAAGAGGGGGAACCCCUACUGUAAAAUUUUAAUAAUAAUGUAAAAUUACAAUGCGACGUGAGUACAAGAGAUAGAUAUGAGCUGGGAAGGUCUAGCUAGGAAGCUAAGAAGAAGGAUCAUAAGAGUACAAAAGUUAUGCCUGCCACUGAUCAAGCCAGUUCGGAAUUGAGUUGUCAUAUUUCCCUCUGCUCUGUGUACAACCAACCUUAAUUCCUUGAUGAAUUCAUUCUUGCAGUGUUGUACUGAUGGGUCUUUGUUUUCAAAUAGCCACUCAUUUCGGCAUUGCCAGAUACUCCAUGUCAUGAGUAUAAUAAUCUCCAUAGAGAAAGGAACAUUAAGUUGGUGCUUGAGGUUUGUCGAGGCCUCCUCCGGAUGAGCAAUUCUAGGAGGGGUUAUGCCAAUUGAAUUCUAGUAGGCUUUUGCAAAAUUGCAUCUAAGAAAUAGGUGAUAAAGAGUUUCCUCCCUUUGCCAUAUACAGUUCUCACGAAUAUGACUCCAGUGUCAUGGUUUUCCUUCUCAGCAUAUUCCUAGUGUUCAGUCUGUUUUUAAGCCAUAACCAGUAGAAUGUUUUGGUUGGCAUUUGUUUUCCAUAGGCACUAGUAAAUAGUAUGAAUGUUUGAAUGCCCCAUUAGGUGUCUGUAGGCAUUUUUUGUUGAAUAGCUAUCUAAAUCCCAAAUAUAUCUCCAUCUGUCCUUCAAGUUAUUUAUGGUAAUUUGCUCCCAAGCUUCAUGUAACUCCAAAUACUGUUCAUAGGCUUGUUCAGAGAUAGGUAAUUGGAAAAUUUGGAAUA